UACAGAGGGUGCGAGCGUUGUCCGGAAUUACUGGGCGUAAAGGGCGCGUAGGCGGCCUGAUAAGUAUGGGGUGAAAUCUCAAGGCUCAACCUUGAGGCUGCCUUGUAGACUGUCAGGCUUGAGCACGGUAGAGGCAGAUGGAAUUCCCGGUGUAGCGGUGGAAUGCGUAGAGAUCGGGAAGAACACCAGUGGCGAAGGCGGUCUGCUGGGCCGUUGCUGACGCUGAGGCGCGACAGCGUGGGGAGCAAACAGG
rnacentral:rRNA from 1 species